rnacentral:rRNA from 1 species
UUGAAAGGGAAACGAUUGAAGUCAGUCGUACCUGUGGGUAAUCAGCCUUUUGGGUGUGAUUUUGUGGAGUGUGAGGAGUUAAACGCCUUCAUGCCUGCAUAUUCGUGCACUUUGGGUGUAUUUACCCGUGUGGUAAGUUAACAUCAAUUUCGGUGGUCAUAAAAUGGCUGGAGGAAUGUAGCUUCGAUCUUGUAUUGAAGUGUUAUAGCCUUCGGUAGGUGUGAUGAUCGGGAUUGAGGAUUGCAACGGAUACCCCUCGGGGCUACCUGUCUGAUCUCUGAUCGUUGCUCUGGUGCCGAAAGCUUGCUUACGGUUAUCAAAGUCGAUGGUUAAUAGGUUAGAACGGGUUAAAUUCGUUAAGGAUGUUGACGUA